GAUGAACGCUGGCGGCGUGCCUAAUACAUGCAAGUCGAGCGAACAGACGAGGAGCUUGCUCCUCUGACGUUAGCGGCGGACGGGUGAGUAACACGUGGAUAACCUACCUAUAAGACUGGGGUAACUUCGGGAAACCGGAGCUAAUACCGGAUAAUAUAUUGAACCGCAUGGUUCAAUAGUGAAAGACGGUUUUGCUGUCACUUAUAGAUGGAUCCACGCCGCAUUAGCUAGUUGGUAAGGUAACGGCUUACCAAGGCAACGAUGCGUAGCCGACCUGAGAGGGUGAGCGGCCACACUGGAACUGACACACGGUCCAGACUCCUACGGGAGGCAGAAGUAGGGAAUCUUCCGCAAUGGGCGAAAGCCUGACGGAGCAACGCCGCGUGAGUGAUGAAGGUCUUCGGAUCGUAAAACUCUGUUAUUAGGGAAGAACAAAUGUGUAAGUAACUAUGCACGUCUUGACGGUACCUAAUCAGAAAGCCACGGCUAACUACGUG
rnacentral:rRNA from 1 species